rnacentral:rRNA from 1 species
AAACAAGCUUUUAAGAGCAGAUGGCGGAUGCCUUGCCAAAGAGAGGCGAUGAAGGACGUACUAGACUGCGAUAAGCUAUGCGGAGCUGUCAAGGAGCUUUGAUGCGUAGAUGUCCGAAUGGGGCAACCCAACUAAUAGAGAUAUUAGUUACUCUAAUUUAGAGAGCGAACCUAGUGAAGUGAAACAUCUCAGUAACUAGAGGAAAAGAAAUCAACGAGAUUCCCUAAGUAGUGGCGAGCGAACGGGGAAAAGGGCAAACCGAGUGCUUGCAUUCGGGGUUGAGGACUGCAAUAUCCACAAGAACGCUUUAGCAGAGUUACCUGGAAAGGUAAGCCAUAGAAAGUGAUAGCCUUGUAUGCGACAAGGCGUUCUUAGGUAGCAGGAUCCAGAGUAGGCCAGGACACGAGAAAUCCAGGUUGAAGCCGGGGAGACCACUCUCCAACCCUAAAUACUACUCUUUGAGCGAUAGCGAACAAGUACCGUGAGGGAAAGGUGAAAAGAACCGCAGUGAGCGGAGUGAAAUAGAACCUGAAACCAUCUGCUUACAAUCAUUCAGAGCCCUAUGAUUUAUCAGGGUGAUGGACUGCCUUUUGCAUAAUGAUCCUGCGAGUUGUGGUAUCUGGCAAGGUUAAGCGGAUGCGAAGCCGUAGCGAAAGCGAGUCUUAAUAGGGCGAUCAAGUCAGAUGCUGCAGACCCGAAGCUAAGUGAUCUAUCCAUGGCCAAGUUGAAACGCGUGUAAUAGCGUGUGGAGGACUGAACUCGUACCCAUUGAAACGGGUUGGGAUGAGCUGUGGAUAGGGGUGAAAGGCCAAACAAACUUAGUGAUAGCUGGUUCUCUUCGAAAUAUAUUUAGGUAUAGCCUCAAGUGAUAAUAAAAGGGGGUAGAGCUCUGAUUGGGCUAGGGCUGCUCGCCGCGGUACCAAACCCUAUCAAACUUCAAAUACCUUUUAUCGUAUCUUGGGAGUCAGGCGGUGGGUGAUAAAAUCAAUCGUCAAAAGGGGAACAACCCAGACUACCAAAUAAGGUCCCUAAGUUCUAUUCUGAGUGGAAAAAGAUGUGUGGCUACUCAAACAACCAGGAGGUUGGCUUAGAAGCAGCCAUCCUUUAAAGAAAGCGUAACAGCUCACUGGUCUAGUGGUCAUGCGCUGAAAAUAUAACGGGGCUAAGAUAGACACCGAAUUUGUAGAUUGUGUUAAACACAGUGGUAGAAGAGCGUUCAUACCAGCGUUGAAGGUAUACCGGUAAGGAGUGCUGGAGCGGUAUGAAGUGAGCAUGCAGGAAUGAGUAACGAUAAGAUAUAUGAGAAUUGUAUCCGCCGUAAAUCUAAGGUUUCCUACGCGAUGGUCGUCAUCGUAGGGUUAGUCGGGUCCUAAGCCGAGUCCGAAAGGGGUAGGUGAUGGCAAAUUGGUUAAUAUUCCAAUACCGACUAUGGAGCGUGAUGGGGGGACGCAUAGGGUUAAGCGAGCUAGCUGAUGGAAGCGCUAGUCUAAGGGCGUAGAUUGGAGGGAAGGCAAAUCCACCUCUGUAUUUGAAACCCAAACAGGCUCUUUGAGUCCUUUCAGGACAAAGGGAGAAUCGCUGAUACCGUCGUGCCAAGAAAAGCCUCUAAGCAUAUCCAUAGUCGUCCGUACCGCAAACCGACACAGGUAGAUGAGAUGAGUAUUCUAAGGCGCGUGAAAGAACUCUGGUUAAGGAACUCUGCAAACUAGCACCGUAAGUUCGCGAUAAGGUGUGCCGCAGCAAUGCGGUCUCAGCAAAGAGUCCCUCCCGACUGUUUACCAAAAACACAGCACUUUGCCAACUCGUAAGAGGAAGUAUAAGGUGUGACGCCUGCCCGGUGCUCGAAGGUUAAGAGGAUGCGUCAGUCGCAAGAUGAAGCGUUGAAUUGAAGCCCGAGUAAACGGCGGCCGUAACUAUAACGGUCCUAAGGUAGCGAAAUUCCUUGUCGGUUAAAUACCGACCUGCAUGAAUGGCGUAACGAGAUGGGAGCUGUCUCAACCAGAGAUUCAGUGAAAUUGUAGUGGAGGUGAAAAUUCCUCCUACCCGCGGCAAGACGGAGAGACCCCGUGGACCUUUACUACAACUUAGCACUGCUAACGGGA